rnacentral:rRNA from 1 species
AUUGAACGCUGGCGGCAGGCCUAACACAUGCAAGUCGAGCGGAUGAAGGGAGCUUGCUCCUGGAUUCAGCGGCGGACGGGUGAGUAAUGCCUAUGAAUCUGCCUGGUAUUGGGGGAUAACGUCCGGAAACGGGCGCUAAUACCGCAUACGUCCUGAGGGAGAAAGUGGGGGAUCUUCGGACCUCACCCUAUCAGAUGAGCCUAGGUCGGAUUAGCUAGUUGGUGGGGUAAAGGCCUACCAAGGCGACGAUCCGUAACUGGUCUGAGAGGAUGAUCAGUCACACUGGAACUGAGACACGGUCCAGACUCCUACGGGAGGCAGCAGUGGGGAAUAUUGGACAAUGGGCGAAAGCCUGAUCCAGCCAUGCCGCGUGUGUGAAGAAGGUCUUCGGAUUGUAAAGCACUUUAAGUUGGGAGGAAGGGCAGUAAGUUAAUACCUUGCUGUUUUGACGGUACCAACAGAAUAAGCACCGGCUAACUUCGUG